CGUAUCAAUCGCCACAGACGCGUGUCCCUUUCCUCCCUCCCGAUCCGCCCCCGUCGCGGAAAGUCCCCCACCAAGGGGCGCCCGCCAUCCCCGUCCCGCCGCGGAUCCACCACGCGCGGCGCGGGCAGCCACCGUCCCCGUCGCCGUCCUCGACGCGCCCGACCCGCCCCCCGCCGCGGAUUCCCCACACGCGGCCGCCGUCCCCGUCGCCAUCGGCGCCCACUCCUCGCCGCUGCACCUCCUCCACGCCGCCGUGGACCUCGCACCGCCGCUCCUCCACGCCUUGGACCUCGCGCCGCCGCUCCUUCACGCGGCGGCUGCACCUCCUCCACGACGCCGUCCACCUCGCACCGCCGCUUCUACACGCUGCGGCUGAACCUGCUACACGCCGCGCGGGCCGCUUCCUUCACGCCGUCGGCUCAAGUUCUUGCCGCACCUCCUCGGCUCCUCCACGCCGCCGUCCGUCUCGCGCUUCUUAAGUUAGAACGAUAAUAGCCCUAUAGAUUCCUGGGAUGUUUUGGAUUACCAUGACUAUCUGUUAACGGAAUAUCUGAAUCUUCAUUCAUUCUUUUGCACUCACCAGGUUUAGGUUGAAAAGGAGAAGAGAAGAACACCACCCAAGCAGCUAAUCGUUAGGGUAGGUUCUAUUUCCAUAGCCCUCACUAAUUGCCCUUGGUCAUGAAAAAUUGUGGUAGUUUUCUUCCUGCGUGCUCAUGCCAUCGCCUGCCGCGCCCGCCGUCGCUUGCCUGCUCACGCCGUCGUCCCUUGCUGCCGCCGCCCACGGCCUGGACGCCACCUAGCCACCGCAAACAGGCGGAAGCUCAAUCCGUGCCGCUGAGUGCCCAAGUCACCGACCCAACGCCCGCCGUGGGCCGUGGCUGGAAGGAAUUAAUAGGACCUGCGGCGCUGCUGCCUCUCUCCAGUUUCACCGUGAUCUGUGUGGCAGGACAGGAGCUCCUGAUCCAACCAAAAUCGCUGGAGGCCUGGAGCGUCGGUCAAGACUCCCUCUCCUCUGUUUCGUUGGAGGUACUAUGAGACUUUAAAAUAAAUGUGGAUGCAAAGGUAAGGGCAUGCGCAAGGCCAACGCCAAGAUGAGAGGUUGCUGACAGUAGAGAUCAGGUGAAGAAAGGCAUUUGCUAGGAUGUUCCAACCUUCUGAAUAAUAUCUGACAGGGAGCAACGAAGCAAUUUAUGUGUGUUGGCCUGAUGUGCAGACUCUUCCAUUUGGCAUUGCUUCAUAUUUGACCACUUUGGGUGCUUCGAGAAACAACAGAGAAAAAAAGGUGAAAUUUGAUUUUGAGCAUUUCAAUCAGUGUUGAAAUUUGACAGCAUGCUGACACCAUUUGUACGAUUGAAGUCCAGGUCAGACACGAUCUACAGACGCCUAUCGGCCAGUCUAAGGCACAGUCGUGCCUGAAUCCAAUUGAUCUUCACCCAUCAUAUGGCACCUGAUCAAGUCAGUUGGUUCUGGCAAUAUUCAAAUCUGAAAGGCAAUGUGAUAUGUGGAUACUCAUGAUUGGUCCAGUGCAUGGGUGAUCAUUCUCACAUUUCAAUGGAACUCGAUGAACUUGAUGAACCAAGUUUUUAUUGUAAAUGAUUGGUGCAAUCAUCUGGAAUAUGAAUGAAUGAAUUCAUUUUGUAUUAGAAAUAGGAUGUCCAGAUACAUGCAAGAGAUACAAUCAGAAAUCAGUGACUUCUGAAAAUUGUACAAAGGAGUUCGACGGUAGUUUUAAUCGAUAACUGCUGAGGAACAAUACUUUAUGAAAUUUGAUGGAAGUCUCAGUGAUCAUAAAUUCUGUAUUCAUUCUUGAACACAGGUUGUCUCAGUGA